rnacentral:rRNA from 1 species
AGAGCGAACGCUGGCGGCAGGCUUAACACAUGCAAGUCGAGCGGGCGUAGCAAUACGUCAGCGGCAGACGGGUGAGUAACGCGUGGGAACGUACCUCUUGGUUCGGAACAACACAGGGAAACUUGUGCUAAUACCGGAUAAGCCCUUACGGGGAAAGAUUUAUCGCCAAAAGAUCGGCCCGCGUCUGAUUAGCUAGUUGGUGAGGUAACGGCUCACCAAGGCGACGAUCAGUAGCUGGUCUGAGAGGAUGAUCAGCCACAUUGGGACUGAGACACGGCCCAAACUCCUACGGGAGGCAGCAGUGGGAAUAUUGGACAAUGGGCGCAAGCCUGAUCCAGCCAUGCCGCGUGAGUGAUGAAGGCCCUAGGGUUGUAAAGGCUCUUUUGUGCGGGAAGAUAAUGACGGUACCGCAAGAAUAACGCCCGGACUAACUUCGCGCCAGCAGCCGC